AUUCUGUGGACCUGCGGUGAUUUCGUAUGUGCAUUGUGCAACCACGAUUUUAGUUAUAUCUUAAUCGUGUUCGCGAGUACCUUAUAUAGUAAUUAAUAUCACGAUUUAAGAUAGUACUAUCCAAUAAUUUAUUAUUCUGUGGUUAAUACUUAAUAUAGACAUCAGACCUUAGAUCACAUGAUUAUUGUUUAGACUUUAUGAUCUAAGCAUCAAACUGUGUAGUGAACAAUGAACAUAUAAAAAAAGUCGUGUCAUACAAGAGCUCCAUAGUGGCUAUGUUGGCUAUAUAGCAGUGUACUAUACGUAGUAGCCAUGAUUUAAGAUAUACCUGUAUAAAUUGUGGUAGAAGCUCUGCUGCGCUGGCAGUAGAGGGUGCUAGUAAGACGUGACAUUUCGUAAAAUUUUAAAAGAACAUUCGACGACGCUCAAUUUUAGACCUUAAAGUAUAAGUAUAACUCAGUAUAUGGUCUGUAACGCGGUGAUCCUAUCAUGAACAUUAGAGUUAAUAUUAAUUAAUUAAUACUCAUAUAUAUAUACUAUACUAAGUAUAGAUGUAGAUCUGUGAAUUUAACAUUAAUGUUCAUGGAUCCAAUAAAAGCCAUCGUGCAACCAUAGUAUCUAUAGUAUCCGUGUUCAAAAUUUGACAAAAUUAUAGACCUUGUAGUAAAAGGAUAAAAAUAAAUAAAUUAUAAAUUUCAUAAAGAUAAAACGGAUAUAUUGUGUUAUAGAAGAUUUCUUGUAAGUCAUCUGGUAAAACUGUAAAUAACGAAAAUGAUAACAGCGUGUAACAAAAUGUUGGUCAUAACCACGAUUAAAGAUACACCUAUAUAUAUCUUUAAUCGUGGUCAUAACACAAGACAUAAACAAACGUUUUUCAUUAAAAUCGCGUGGCAAUUGCCGUUGCUUCUACGAGUUCUGCUUCUGCGAGUCUUAAAAAAAGUUUACAUUUUCAUUAUUCUUAAUGUCAUUGUAAAAUGGCAUAUUUUAAAAAUUUGUUUCUAAUAUUUUAAUCAUAAUAACGAAUUUAUGCAAUUUAACAAAUAUAAUAUACAUGCCAUUCUAAACCUCUGAACGGAAAAUGUAUACAUUCGGUUAUGGUAAGUUUUGGGAAGAGAUUUGUCAUUCGAUAUUUUCAGUUGGUAAAAUCUGGAAGUUGCUACAGACUUUGAAACCCCAAUGCGUAAUGUAGUAAAGAGAGUUUUACCCGAAUGUAGACUGAUAGGAUGUUGGUCUCAUUUUAGCCAGAGUAUUGUACAAUUCAUUCAAAAUCAUAAUUUGGUUCAGUAGAUGGUUCAGUUAGUAUACAAUAAUCAUAUGAAUGGUUAUAGCAUUACCUCAUUUGCUAUCUAUAAUGAGUCCAGACCUCUCAAACAUUUUCCACAUUGUUGAAAGUUUCAUGGCUGUACAAGAAAUGGCAAGCAGUUUGGACAUACCUGUAGAGUGUAGAUCUUGAAGAUAUUUUUGAAUAUAUUCAAACUUUCUGGUUGAAUAUUAUUCAUCCAGAUGGAUUUUCUGUUUUUGGACUAAAUAUUCGGAUCAAUAAUUUUAUUGAGAAUUAUAUCAUGUUGAAAACCUCCAUUGGCCAACAUCCACUGGUUUGGACUUAUUGAUGUGAUUUGUUUUUUUCAAUAUUUCAGUACUUAACUAAUUUAAAUUUAAAUUAUAGGUAUGUAUAUCGACCACGAUUCCAUGAAUAAUUUAAUUGUCUAGAUAGGCAGGCGUUCUGUAGAAAAUCAAGUUUGAAAGGAAACUCGUUAAAUAAUUAAUAGUAAACCAUAGGGGGGGGGGGGGGGAGAAAGCCGCAAAAGGUGCAUAGCCUUCCCCCCCAAUCACCACGUAUUUGUCCUAUGUUUUAGACUGUGUUUUUUGCACUGUAAUGCAGUAGUAGAUGUCAUAGAUAUUCAUUUAUGUAGUUACAGGAUUCAAUUUACAUACGGUUGUUAAUUGUAAAAUUACAAUUCUGAAAACUUCUCGCCAGUCUAAUACCACAUUAGUUAUUACUUAAUAUGUUUCUUUAUCAUGGUUCUGGUGAAUAUUGAGUAUUGACUGGAAUAUCCUCAUUGCGACGUUUAGUAUACAUUAAAAAUAAUGAUGUAAUAAUAUAAAACUCAACGCACGACAAAUAACAAUUUUUAGUAUCUACAUUGGACAUCCUAUGUGUAACAUGUAAUGUGUUCCUACUUAUUGUAAAUUUUUGACAGUCAAGUUCGACUUUUCAUGUGCUCUAAUAUAAUUACCAUAAAAACAAUUAUUUAAUAUGGACAAAAAAAAGUUUCUUUUAAAGAAAAAUGAAACAAAUCUAUGUUAGCCAAUGCUUUGCCAAUUAAAAACAGCUGUGUUAAGAAUUUGUUUUGUUCUUUAGCCCCCCCCCCUCCCUCUCCUCUUCAACCCAAAAUUCAGCACUGGAUCUGCUACUGUAGUCAACAACUAACCAUUAAUUAAUUUAAUUUACCUACCUAAUACAAAGGAUUAUUCUUUCAUAUAAACUGUCGGUACAUAUUGUUUAAAAUGUAUUGAAACAUACUGUUUUAGGUCAGAAGAUAAAUUAUUACUUCAAAGAUCACUACUUGGCUUGUACAAAAUACGGUAUGACACUAUGACCUACCUUCGAAAGGUAGCCUACUCAUCAGUUAGUUGUUUAAAUGAGCUAAUAGGCCCAAUUCCGAAUGGUUAUCUUCAAAAUUAGUUAUGUGUUUUAAACCAACUAACAAUUAAAUUUAUCUUAAAGUCUAGAUAUCAACCAACAAGUAAGUGCUUUUAUUUUGCUACUAUUACCAUUGUCGCCACCUCUAAUACCUGGUGGGGUUGGAGGCUGUGGUCAUGGUUAUAUUCAAGCACUUGGUCCAGUUGCAAAUAGUAGGAUUCCACGACAUAGAGGAAGACUAAUUGGACAUAUACAGGCCAAAGAGUAUGUAACUCGCAAAUAGAAGGACCAUCAUUAUUUAUGGUAUUAACCAUAAUUGUGUAAAUGAAGAUCUAGACAGAUGUUUGUUCAAAAAAACAUUCUACCAUGUACCCAUGGAUGGUGCUGUGUGACGGAUAUCCAAAUCAUAUGACAUCUUUGUCCUGUUUCUAAGGUUCUUUUCCCUAGAACAUAGCCCAUUUGUAUUGUACACGCUAUUGGUGGUUGAAUAGAAAACCAAAAUUUUACUGAUCCAGCUGGAAGUCAGUGUCUAGGGUGUUUACUACAAUACAUGAGGGAUAUACGCAAUAGAUCACGGUUUAUAUAUUUAUAUUGUGGACAUGGAUGGUUUUGUGGGGAUUGUGCCAUACCAAUUGUGAAAUAAGUAGGGGAGAAAUAGAUGCCGCAAUCGCCAAUUCAAAUAUUAAUUGUAUAGCUAAGAGUUAUUUAGUCAUACAUUUAAUUUCCCUUAAUUUAAUAAAAUACACACUUGAAACAUCUAAACUCAAAUGUUUUUUUUUAUUUAUGUUUGUGUUUUGUAAGAAAUUUACCACAGACUAACGUACGGCUUAAAAUAUGUUAUUAUUAUUUUAUUUUUAAAAUAAGUUUAUCU